rnacentral:rRNA from 1 species
AGAGUUUGAUCCUGGCUCAGAUUGAACGCUGGCGGAAUGCUUUACACAUGCAAGUCGAACGGCAGCACGGGAGCUUGCUCCUGGUGGCGAGUGGCGAACGGGUGAGUAACAUAUCGGAACAUAUCCUAUCGUGGGGGAUAACUAGUCGAAAGACUAGCUAAUACCGCAUACGUCCUGAGGGAGAAAGCGGGGGCUCGCAAGACCUCGCGCGAUUGGAGUGGCCGAUAUCUGAUUAGCUAGAUGGUGAGGUAAAAGCUCACCAUGGCGACGAUCAGUAGCUGGUCUGAGAGGAUGAUCAGCCACACUGGGACUGAGACACGGCCCAGACUCCUACGGGAGGCAGCAGUGGGGAAUUUUGGACAAUGGGCGAAAGCCUGAUCCAGCCAUUCCGCGUGAGUGAAGAAGGCCUUCGGGUUGUAAAGCUCUUUCGGCAGGAACGAAACGGUGGGUUCUAAUACAGCC